GACGAACGCUGGCGGCGUGCCUAAUACAUGCAAGUAGAACGCUUAAGAGAGGAGCUUGCUCUUCUUGGAUGAGUUGCGAACGGGUGAGUAACGCGUAGGUAACCUGCCUUUUAGCGGGGGAUAACUAUUGGAAACGAUAGCUAAUACCGCAUAACAAUGGAUGACACAUGUCAUUUAUUUGAAAGGGGCAAUUGCUCCACUACAAGAUGGACCUGCGUUGUAUUAGCUAGUAGGUGAGGUAAUGGCUCACCUAGGCGACGAUACAUAGCCGACCUGAGAGGGUGAUCGGCCACACUGGGACUGAGACACGGCCCAGACUCCUACGGGAGGCAGCAGUAGGGAAUCUUCGGCAAUGGGGGCAACCCUGACCGAGCAACGCCGCGUGAGUGAAGAAGGUUUUCGGAUCGUAAAGCUCUGUUGUAAGUCAAGAACGGGUGUGAGAGUGGAAAGUUCACACUGUGACGGUAGCUUACCAGAAAGGGACGGCUAACUACGUG
rnacentral:rRNA from 1 species